rnacentral:rRNA from 1 species
UACCAGCACCCCGAGUGGUCGGGACGAUUAUUGGGCCUAAAGCAUCCGUAGCCGGCCUUACAAGUCCCCCGUUAGAUCCAACUGCUUAACAGAUGGGCUGCGGAGGAUCCUAUAAGACUAGGAGGCAGGAGAGGCAAGCGGUACUCAGUGGGUAGGGGUAAAAUUCGUAGAUAUCGAGAGGAACACCGGUGGCGAAGGCGGCCUUCUGGACAGUGACUGACGCUGAGACGCGAAAGCGUGGGGAGCAAACAGG